rnacentral:lncRNA from 1 species
CGGUCCCACCGAUAUUCCAAACUCAGUCACACCGAGAUGAACCACCUCAGCCAUAAGCCAAACCCUAGAAAACUCGGAUUUUCCGAUUCUGAACUCGGUCUCACCGAAACAUGAGUUGCCAAGCUUCUGUAACCUUCUGUCAUCAAAUCGGUGUCACCGAGAUGAUGAAGUCGGUCCCACCGAAACUGGCAUGCUCUUGUCAUUGCAUGAAUCGGACUAACCGAGAUUGUAUUUUCGGUCCCACCGAAAAUCCCAACGUUCACAUUAUUUGAACUAUCGGUCUCACCGAGUUGUCCACUUCGGUCCCACCGAGAUUGCUCAAAUGUGUGUAACGGUUGGAUUUUGUGUGGAGGCUAUUUAUACCCCUCCACCCCCUCUUCAUUCGUGGAGAGAGCCAUCAGAAAGAACUACCACUCCUACCUUACAUUUCUGAGAAGAGAACUACCUACCCUUGUGUUGAGAUCAAGUUGCUCCACUCCCACCAUAUGAAGCUUGAUCUCUAGCCUUCCCAAGUUGCUUUCCACUCAAUCCUUUCUUCCACCAUAGCCAAAUCAGUGAGGAGAGUUGAGUGUUGGGGAGAUUAUCAUUUGAAGCACAAGAGCAAGGAGUUCAUCAUCAUCUACAACAUCUAUUACCUUUUGGAGGGUGGUGCCUCCUAGAUUGGUUAGGUGUCGCUUGGGAGCCUCCGUCAUCGAGAUGUGGAGUUGAACCAAGAAGUUUGUAAGGGCAAGGAGAUCGCCUACUUCGUGAAGAUCUACCCCGAGUAAGGCUAGCCCUCCGUGGGCGUAGGCCAUGAUGGGAUAGACAAGGUUGCUUCUUCGUGGACCCUUCGUGGGUGGAGCCCUCCGUGGACUCGCGUAGCCGUUACCCUCCGUGGGUUGAAGUCUCCAUCAACGUGGAAGUACGAUAGCACCACCUAUCGGAACCACGAGAAAAAUCACCGCGUCUCCAAAUUGCGUUUGAUCUUCUCCACUUCUCUUUACUACUUGUGCAAUUUACUUUCCGCUGCCCAUACUCUAGAAUUGCAUGUGUAGUGUGCUACUUGACUUGUAUGUUAUGCAAAAUCUGCCAAAAUCUGUCCUUGAUAAAAGACAGAAUUUUUAUCUUGUCGAGUAGUCUAAUCACCCCCCCUCUAGACACUCUCACCUUCUUCGAUCCCUCAAUUGGUAUCAGAGCAUUGGUUUCCAUUGCUUUGGUUUACACACCAUUGGAGGAAGAUGGACGUGUCUACGUUUGGGAGUGUUAGCCAUAGAGUGCCUAUUCUUAAUGGAGUGUCCUAUAACUCGUGGAGGAUUGAAAUGCUUAUUAUCUUUAAGACAUACAAUUUGCGCAAAUAUGUUGAGACCCCCUAUGUGCCUCAAUUUGACCCCUUGCACCCUACCAUGGAUGAAGAGCUUGAUUUGCUUCGUAACCUUAGGACUGUAAAUCUUAUCAUUAGAGGGUUACCCGAUAACUUGCUUAAGCUCGUUACAAACUUUGAGUGCGCCUAUGCUAUGUGGAAGUUCUUGGAAGAACUUUAUCCGGACUACUCUUUGAGAGGUCUUGAUGAAAUUCUAUACAAGACUAUUGAAUUUGAUAUAAUGCGCCCCAAUGAUCCCAACUUUGAUAAAUGCUUCUUUGAGCUUUGUGAUCUUAUGAAAAAGAAGGGUGAUCCCGGUCUUAUCAAUGUUCUAAUUAGAAAUGCUCUUGUAUUGCAUUCCGAUGAUUAUUGUCACAUUGACAAAACUAAUGCAAGUAGUUAUCAAAUUGACCUAGGUGUUGAUGAUGAACAAUCUAUGGGUCAAUAUGAUGAUGAGCAUGAGCAUGAUGAUGAUUACUCCGAUUCGGACACCGAGCUAGACAAGAUCAUGAAGAGUCUCAAUCUUAUGGCAAAUCUGAGAGACUACAUAUCCGGCGGAAAAGAGUGGAUUCUUGAUAGUGGAUGCACCGACCACAUGACCGGAGACAAAGACAUGUUUCGAGAGCUUGCAAAGAACGAUGGUCCACGCAAGUAUGUGACUUUUGGAGACAACUCCAAGGGUAAGGUACUUGGCCUUGGUAAGGUGGCCAUAUCUCAUGAUAGCUCUAUUCAAAAUGUCAUGCUUGUAGAAUCUCUUGGAUACAAUUUACUUUCCGUGUCUAGAUUAGCUGACUUUGGAUUCAACGUGCUAUUCACCGAAGUAGAUUGCCAAGUCUUUUGUCGUGACAAUCAUAACAUGGCGUUUACCGGUAUCCGUAGAGGUGAUCUAUAUAUUGUUGAUUUCACUAAGAAAGCCCAACCUAGAGCUUGCUUCAUUGCUAAAUCCGCUAAAGGUUGGUUAUGGCAUAGAAGGCUUGGACAUGUUGGUAUGCGUAAUCUAGACAAGCUGAUCAAAGGUGAUCAUAUUCUUGGCGUUAAAGAUGUUUUUUUUGACAAAGAUAGACUUUGUAGUGCUUGUCAAGCAGGAAAACAAGUAGGUGGAAGUCAUCCCGUGAAGAACAUCAUGACCACAAGGAGACCGCUUGAGCUUAUUCAUAUGGAUCUCUUCGGUCCCAAUGCUUACAAAAGCCUUGGUGGUAACUCCUUUGGUCUAGUUAUAGUUGAUGAUUAUUCCAGAUUUACGUGGGUAUUUUUCCUUGAUGACAAAUCGCAGGUUCAGAGAAUCUUCAAAACCUUUGCCAGAAAGGCCCAAAAUCAAUUUGAGGUGAAGAUCAAGAAAGUUCGGAGUGACAAUGGAACGGAGUUCAAGAACGCCAAUGUAGACUCUUUUCUCGAUGAGGAAGGGAUUCUACAUGAGUUCUCGGCUACAUACACUCCUCAACAAAAUGGAGUUGUUGAGAGGAAGAACCGAACGCUCAUAGAGAUGGCGAGAACAAUGCUUGAUGAAUACAAGACACCGAAGCAUUUUUGGGGUGAAGCGGUCGAGACAGCUUGUCAUGCUAUCAACAGGCUUUAUCUUCAUAAGCUCCUCGGCAAGACAUCAUACGAGCUCCUCACCGGUAACAAACCCCAAGUGGGAUACUUUCGUGUCUUUGGUUCGAAAUGCUAUAUCCUUGAUAAGCAUCGUCGGUCUAAAUUUGCUCCUAAAACUCAUGAAGGCUUUUUUCUUGGUUAUGGAUCAAACUCCCACACCUACCGUGUCUACAAUAAUUUCACCCGAAAGGUUGAAGAGACGGUAGACGUGAAGUUUGAUGAAUCUAAUGGCUCGCAAGUAGAGCAAAUGCCUAUUGAUGUAGGAGACAAGGACCCAUCGGAAGCUAUCCAAGAUUUAUCUAUUGGAAAGAUCCGUCCCAUGGAAGUGAAGGAGAGUACCUCAUCUACAUAUGUGGAGCCCCCUACCUCACAGCGAAAUGAACCUCAAGGCAACAUGGAGGCUUCCACAAGUGGAACUCACCAAGAUGAGGAAGUGCAACAAGAAGAUCCACCACAACCUCCUUCUCCACCGCCUCAAGACAACACCAACAACAAUGAAGAAGAAGAAGAGGAAGAUGAAGAUGAUGAGGAAGCUCAGCCACAACCUCAACAAAAGCUAUCCCGAGUUCGAGCAAGAGUCAAGAAAAAUCAUCCCGUGGAACAAAUGAUGAACGAUAUCAACUCCGGGAGAAUUACUCGCUCUAAAACUCGCUUAGCUAACUUUUGUGAGCAUUACUCAUUUAUCUAUAGUAUUGAACCUAUGAAGGUAGAAGAAGCACUUGAAGACCCGGAUUGGGUGAACGCUAUGCACGAAGAAUUACACAACUUUGAGAGGAACAAGGUAUGGACUUUGGUAGAGAAGCCCAAGGAUGAUCAAAACGUCAUUGGAACCAAAUGGGUGUUUCGAAACAAGCAAGAUGAAGAUGGACAAGUCAUCCGCAACAAGGCUCGUCUCGUAGCUCAAGGUUACACACAAGUUGAAGGUAUGGACUAUGGUGAGACCUAUGCCCCCGUUGCUAGACUUGAGUCCAUUCACAUUCUUCUUGCUUAUGCCAAUCACCAUGAUAUUACUCUCUAUCAAAUGGAUAUCAAAAGUGCUUUCCUAAAUGGUGAAAUUGAGGAGGAAGUAUUUGUGAAACAACCUCCCAGAUUUGUGAAUCCCAAAAAGCCUAAUCAUGUUUACAAGUUGCACAAAGCUCUUUAUGGUCUUAAACAAGCUCCUAGAGCUUGGUACAAAUGCUUGACUAGCUUUCUUCUUGAAAAAGGCUUUGAGAUUGGAAAGAUAGACUCAAUGCUGUUCACGAAAAGGGUUGAUGGUGAACUAUUUGUGUGCCAAAUAUAUGUUGAUGAUAUUAUCUUUGGUUCAACUAACCCUCAUUUUAGCGAGAAGUUUGGAAAGCUCAUGUCGGAGAAGUAUGAGAUGUCCAUGAUGAGUGAACUCAAAUUCUUCCUUGGGUUGCAAAUCAAGCAAUCUAAGGAGGGUACCUUUGUCUCACAAACAAAGUACACCAAGGAUCUCUUCAAGAAGUUCAACAUGCAAGAAAGCAAAGGUAUGAGAACCCCCAUGCCUACAAGUGAACAUAAUGACUUGACAAAAGAUGGAGAACCCGUUGAUCAAAAGGUUUACCGAUCUAUGAUUGGUUCUCUACUAUAUCUUUGUGCUUCUCGUCCUGACAUAAUGUUGAGUGUAUGCAUGUGUGCUCGAUAUCAAGCAGCCCCUAAAGAAUGUCAUCUUAAAGCUGUUAAAAGGAUUGUGAGAUAUUUGAUACACACACCAAACUUUGGCAUUUGGUAUCCUAAGAGGGCCUCUUUCGACCUUAUUGGCUAUUCCGACUCGGACUGUGCUGGUGACAGGGUUGAUAGAAAGUCAACUUCGGGUACGUGUCAAUUCCUUGGUCGAUCCCUUGUAUCUUGGUCCUCCAAGAAACAAAAUUCGGUAUCAUUAUCCACUGCCGAAGCGGAAUAUAUUGCUGCUGGUUCGUGUUGUGCUCAAUUGCUAUGGAUGACACAAACGCUUAAGGAUUAUGGGAUACAUGUGAGACAUGUUCCCUUGCUUUGUGAUAAUGAGAGUGCGAUUAAAAUUGGACACAAUCCCGUGCAACACUCUCGAACGAAACAUAUUGAAGUUCGUCACCAUUUCAUUCGUGAUCACAUUGCCAAGGGUGACAUCAAUCUUAAGCAUGUUCGUACUGACAAACAACUCGCUGAUAUCUUUACAAAACCUCUUGAUGAGAAGGUGUUUUGUCGCUUAAGGAGUGAGUUGAACAUCAUUGAUGCCUCAAACUUGGAGUGAGAACUCCAUUGAUGCAUGCAAGGCAUGAGCCUACUUGACUAAUCCUUGAUAUUUCUCUUAUGAUGGUAAUCAUAUGUCUUGGACACAUUUGCCUCCUUGUAUUGCAUCUAACUCCUUGCAGGUACUUGGAUGAUCUACAUUCCACAAGACUACCACACACUCAAAUCAUGAGUAAUCUUGUCAUUGACCAAGUAUCUAGCCCUUUGGGAUGUUGAGUUCAAGGAACAAAAUUCCACAUAUCCUUUUUGACAUCUUAUACAUCUAGUAUUUCGCUCUUGUCAUCUUGGAUAUCCUUGAGUAUUUCCUUGCUUGCCUAACCCAUGUAGGAAGAUGAACUACACAAGUGGAAAUGGCGCUCCAACUUCACAUUCAAUGAGCACCUACAUCAAGUUUACCUACAUGAACAAAGCAACAACAAGCCCAAGGUAUGUUCUUCACAUCUUUAAGGAGCUUUGCUCAAAGUCAUGAGUACACGCAGCUUCAUAAGAUGUGAUCACAUCAAAUGCUUAAUCGAAAAAUGGCAACCCCAUUUUGAGCUUAAACGAUGAGUAUGACCCAUGAUCAAAUGUUCUCAUUUGACUCCUAAGUCAAUAUACUCACACAUAGGUGACCUUGUCGCCGACCCUUAUCUAGAUGAAGUACAUAUGUUUUGGAGUCUUUCUAUUUUCUCUUAUGUUCUCUCAUUGAGUUUUUUUUUUAAAAAAACUUCAUCUAGGAAUCUUUUUCAUUUCUUUUUUUUGGUCUUUGUGAAUAUCCUUCUGGCUCUGAUCAAUUCCUCGAAAAUCAUUCACAAAUUCAUUGCAAACCCUUUGAAACAUUCCUCGCAAAUUGAGCUGAAUUAUUUCUGUAUUUCCUUGGAAUUAAACUCGGCGUCACCGAUUUAAAUAUUUCGGUCUAACCGAAAAGGAUCUACCCUAAGUCCCUGACUUUCGGACCCACCGAUCCAUCUUAAUUCGGUGUCACCGAUUUAUUUCUUUCAGGAUAUCAUCUUCUGCAGCUCCACUCAAUGAUUCUCUAUGCAUGUUCCUUUUUGCCCUAUUGUGAUUCUUAAGGAUCCCACUUCUUUCUUUCCAUCUUCCCUAACCUUCCUAGUUUGCUGUCCUUUUCGGCACUUGAUGUCAAAGGGGGAGAAGACUUAGGGGAGAAGAGAAGAUUUAGGGGGAGAAGAAGAGCAAUCUUACCUUAAGGGGGAGAGAAUCACAUCAAAGCUUUGCCGUGUUUUUCCUUAUAAGAGAAUUUCUUGCCGUGUUUCACAUUGGACAUUACAAUUGGCGUCAUUCUCAUUUGGCAUCAUUCUUUUGAUUUUGCUCUUUCCAUCAAACCCCUUGAUCGUAGAGAACUCAAAGGGAGAGGAAUCUUCACAAUUGAUAUCUUAUGGAAAGCAAAAUCUCUCAGAGUUCAUUGAAAAUCUUUUAGUUUCAGAGACAUGUUUGCUGAUUCAAGCUUGUGCUCAAUAUGAGACACUCUUUAUACAUGUCAUCCCUGGCUUGGUACUCUUGAUGUUCUUGCAGUUGGUUGAAGAAAUACUCUUGUGUUAUCUAACCUUGUUUUCCCAAGUUUAUCUCUUCAGGUACAAUGCCAAGGAACCUCAAGGUAAGUAUAUGCACUUUGCAGAAUGUGCAUGAUGGUGACUUGCUUGUGAAUACUUGUUUGCAAGAAAUCACCAUGCACAUAUGCAUUAUCACUCACUUCUUUUCAUCUGCUCUGAUGCAUGUAGCCAAGCUGCAUGUAGCACAUCUUGCUUUUCUCUCUUGUGUGCUUGUGGUAGUCCAAAACCGUAAUUUAUGAAAAUCUUGCACACUUGUAGGGGGAGCCUGUGUACUACAUGCUUGUCAAAGCUUUCGUGAUAAUUCUGUCUUUCUUUCAAUAAGCUUUGAUGUCUUGUUUAGUGUGUUGCCAUCAAUUACCAAAAAGGGGGAGAUUGAAAGCACAUUUGCUCCUCGGGUGGUUUUGGUAAUUAAUGACAACAUACUUUGUGGUUGGACUAAUGCUUUUAUCAAGUAUGUUUCAGGAAAUUCAAUCACAUUGGCAUGGCAAAAGGACUAAAGAGGUGGACCCCUCAAAAUGCUAAGGCAAGCAUUGGCAAAAGCUCAAGACUCCAUUUUUGGUUUAGUGAUCCUAGAUCACAUUGAGUCCAUAGGAAAAGCCAAUACUAUUAAAAGGGGAUGAGGUUAUGAUGAUGAUCUGGUUGCUCAAGUGCUUAGUGAUACAUCUCCUAAACUAUCAGCAACUUUCACUGCCAUAUACACUCAUAAGUAGUCUCGGUCCCACCGAUAUUCCAAACUCAGUCACACCGAGAUGAACCACCUCAGCCAUAAGCCAAACCCUAGAAAACUCGGAUUUUCCGAUUCUGAACUCGGUCUCACCGAAACAUGAGUUGCCAAGCUUCUGUAACCUUCUAUCAUCAAAUCGGUGUCACCGAGAUGAUGAAGUCGGUCCCACCGAAACUGGCAUGCUCUUGUCAUUGCACGAAUCGGACUAACCGAGAUUGUAUUUUCGGUCCCACCGAAAAUCCCAACGUUCACAUUAUUUGAACUAUCAGUCUCACCGAGUUGUCCACUUCGGUCCCACCGAGAUUGCUCAAAUGUGUGUAACGGUUGGAUUUUGUGUGGAGGCUAUUUAUACCCCUCCACCCCCUCUUCAUUCGUGGAGAGAGCCAUCAGAAAGAACUACCACUCCUACCUUACAUUUCUGAGAAGAGAACUACCUACCCUUGUGUUGAGAUCAAGUUGCUCCACUCCCACCAUAUGAAGCUUGAUCUCUAGCCUUCCCAAGUUGCUUUCCACUCAAUCCUUUCUUCCACCACAGCCAAAUCAGUGAGGAGAGUUGAGUGUUGGGGAGAUUAUCAUUUGAAGCACAAGAGCAAGGAGUUCGUCAUCAUCUACAACAUCUAUUACCUUUUGGAGGGUGGUGCCUCCUAGAUUGGUUAGGUGUCGCUUGGGAGCCUCCGUCAUCGAGAUGUGGAGUUGAACCAAGAAGUUUGUAAGGGCAAGGAGAUCGCCUACUUCGUGAAGAUCUACCCCGAGUAAGGCUAGCCCUCCGUGGGCGUAGGCCAUGAUGGAAUAGACAAGGUUGCUUCUUCGUGGACCCUUCGUGGGUGGAGCCCUCCGUGGACUCGCGCAGCCGUUACCCUCCGUGGGUUGAAGUCUCCAUCAACGUGGAAGUACGAUAGCACCACCUAUCGGAACCACGAGAAAAAUCACCGCGUCUCCAAAUUGCGUUUGAUCUUCUCCACUUCUCUUUACUACUUGUGCAAUUUACUUUCCGCUGCCCAUACUCUAGAAUUGCAUGUGUAGUGUGCUACUUGACUUGUAUGUUAUGCAAAAUCUGCCAAAAUCUGUCCUUGAUAAAAGACAGAAUUUUUAUCUUGUCGAGUAGUCUAAUCACCCCCCCCUCUAGACACUCUCACCUUCUUCGAUCCCUCAAG